GCAGAGAAGGGAAGAACCAGAAGACAGGUUCUGGUGGCAUAUGCAGUCAGUGAGGAGGAGUGAGAGGAUCUGAGAACUUCAGCCCUGAGAUAAAGGGUUCGUCCAUUUGACUGUGAUACUUGACUAGAGGGUUGAGCUGCUGAAGAUCUGCCUACCAAGGUUGGCAACCUACAGGGGGCUCCAGGAGUAGGAAGAAGAGUGCAGUACCACACCCAGCUGCUAGGAGGCUCUCAAGAGGCAGACUUUUCCCACCAUACAGGAAUCAAGAAUCUAUUUCCCUGUUGGUACAUUUCAAAGCAAAAGAUGGUACCAUCCUAACUGAUGGGCAGGAACAACUUGACCGAUGGACGGAGCAUUACAAAGAAUCUACUCAAAAGAUGCCAUUAUCUGUGACACUCCUUAGCUGCCAUUCCCCAGCUUCCAACGAUGCAGGAGCUGGAUCAAACACUGACUAUCGAAGGUGUAGAGAAGGCUAUCAAAGAGAUUGCAUCUGGGAAAGCAGCAGGCAAUUAUCAGAUCCCUCCGGAGCUCCGAAAGGCAGGGGGGAGAAAGCUUGUGAGAGACAUCCACACACUUCUCUGCACCUGCUGGGAAGAAAGCCACAUACCCAGAUCUGAAAAAUGCAAACAUAAUUACUUCAUACAAAAAUAAAGGGGACAGAGCAGACUGCAACAACUACCCCGGGAUAUCUCUGCUCAGCAUGGUGGGCAAGGUGCUUGCAAGGGUCCUGCUGAAAAGACUCCAAGUCCUUGCUGAAAGAGUUUAUCCUGAGAGCCAGUGUGGGUUCAGAGCAGGACAGUCUAUGACUUGUCUGUGUCCUUCACAAUGUGCUUGUUCCAAGAAAAAAAAGCUCUGAACAACAGGCACCUUUCUAUGUAUUUGUUGACCUACAAAAGGCCUUUGACAUGAUUAGCAGGAAUGGCAUAUACAAGAUCCUGUUGCAAAUUGGCUGUCCACAAAAAGUGCUCGCCCUGUUUAAGGUGUUCCAUGAGGGAAUGAAGGCAACUAUCCAGUAUGAAAAUGAAACAUCGUCUGAGUUUAGUUUAAGGGUGUGUCCUAGUGUCUACUGACUUUGGCAUCUUCUUUAUUCUUCUUCAGUAUGCUUUUGGAAAUGACCAAUCUGACACACUAAUUGAAUUGAGGACGGACGGCAGCUUGUUCAACAUCAGACCAUUUCAGAGCAAAAGGCAUGUCACCCAGACACUAUUGGGAUCUGCUCUUUGCAGAUGACGCUGCAUUCAUCUCUAACUCAGCUGAUGAACUGCAAAUCAUGAUGAAUACGUUCGCUGUUUGCAGUGGUCAUCAGUAGCAAGAAAAAAGUUGUCACGUCAUAGGGCACCAACGUCCCACCUAAAAUCUAUGUCAGUAAUGAAACUCUGGACAACGUGGAUCACUUCUUGCUAUCUUGGCUCAGCUUUAACCAGCUCAGUGAACCUUGAUAGAGAACUUCAUGCAAGAAUCGGCAGAGCCUGUCACUUUUGGCAAACUUACCUCAAGCGUCUGGAACAACAAGCUGCUAACCCUGUACACAAAGGUGUCCAUUUAUCAGGCUUGUGUCCUCAAUACCUUUUACUCUACAUCCUGAGAGAGGCAGCCAACUGACAGCCAUCAGCUGUGUGUUGCAUUGCUGCCUGCUACUCUGACUGUGUGACACAGAGCAAAGCUUCAAGGUAGCAGAAAAUCACUGCCUGCACUUUUUGCAAAGCACUUUGGGGUAGAGAGAGUGUAUGGGGCACCACAUAAGACCAUAUCCUGUUUUAUAUUUUUCCAUCGUGAUGGGAUUACCAGCCUCUGCUAUGAAUCCCUGAAAAGCUGCUAAGUAUCAUUUAAGAUUUUUGGCACCCAAUCCAAUGAGGCAGUAGUUGUAUUUAUUUUUUCUGUGGGGUGCUUUUUUUUGUGUGUGCCUAUUUUCAGUUUUAGUUUUUAACCACCAGAUUAAUAGAAAAAAAUGUAGAGCAAUCAUUCAGUACCCAAGAGGGCUUGCAGUGCACUCAUUGUGACAGAAUUCUUGCCUAUUGAGGACAGUGUCAGGUUCCCUCAAAGGCAGUUUGGCAAAGAUCUCUUCAAUCUCUUCUUCAUGGACAACAAGGAAGUACAUUCAUAGAAUUCCCAGGCACCCCAGAUGAAAAGGGAGGGAAUUAAUACAGAAGUCCCUGCAGCACAGAUGACUUUAUUGAAAGCAGACAGAAUUGUUUCCACAUGGAUUUCAGAAAGGUAUCCUCCUCAGUUUAAAUCACUCCUCCAGCCCUCAAAAAAAAAAAAAA